rnacentral:tRNA from 1 species
GCGAGAAUGGCGGAAUUGGCAGACGCGCUGGACUUAGGAUCCAGUGGGGUAACCCGUGCAGGUUCGAUUCCUGUUUCUCGCA